rnacentral:ncRNA from 1 species
AUUUAGCUGCCGCCGGGUAGUAAAUGCUGAUGCAUUCGUGUGCACAUCGUUAGGUCUUUGUAGAUGUGUAUUCGGAUGCUUUUUAAUU